GUUCUUCGGCAGCACAUAUACUAAAAGUGGAACUAUACAGAGAUUAGCAUGGUCCCUGCGCAAGGAUGGCACGCAAAAUAAGGCCUUUGAAUGUAAAAGUUUU